rnacentral:rRNA from 1 species
AGGUAAUAUUCUAUAGAAACCUAUAUCCUUUGACGGCCUUUUUUCUAAUCAAAGGAACUUGUUAUUUAACCGAAACUACCCGUUCAUUUUCACUUACUUUCAGUUUUUAUACCGUCGUCUAAAGGAGACAUUAAUUUAUGAAUCCAAAAUAGGCCAAUCAUUCAAGACAGAUCAAGGUGAAGCAUACGAGUUAGAUCAUAAUGAGUUAUCUAUAAAUACUAUUUAAAGAUCAUAUUUUAAAAAUUUUGUGAAUUAAGAUUUGAAAGUACUUGAUGGAAUAAUAUUCUACAAGGCAGAAGUAAAUUAAGGUGU